rnacentral:rRNA from 1 species
GACGAACGCUGGCGGCGUGCCUAAUACAUGCAAGUCGAACGCAUUUUCUUUCACCGUAGCUUGCUACACCGAAAGAAAAUGAGUGGCGAACGGGUGAGUAACACGUGGGUAACCUGCCCAUCAGCGGGGGAUAACACUUGGAAACAGGUGCUAAUACCGCAUAAUUCCAUUUACUGCAUGGUAGAUGGAUGAAGGGCGCUUUUGCGUCACUGAUGGAUGGACCCGCGGUGCAUUAGCUAGUUGGUGGGGUAACGGCCUACCAAGGCUGCGAUGCAUAGCCGACAUGAGAGGGUGAUCGGCCACACUGGGAAUGAGACACGGCCCAGACUCCUACGGGAGGCAGCAGUAGGGAAUCUUCGGCAAUGGACGCAAGUCUGAACGAGCAACGCCGCGUGAGUGAAGAAGGGUUUCGGAUCGUAAAACUCUGUUGUUAGAAAAGAACAAGGAUGAGAGUGGAAAGUUCAUCCCUUGACGGUAGCUAACCAGAAAGCCACGGCUAACUACGUG